UAUCAUGUUCGGAUGUCCAAAGAUUGAUUUAAGGCCGGAAUUCCAAGAUUCAGCCUUGGGCCCAGGAAAAUCCUUGCACCACAGUUUUCAUGAUUUUUAUGUUUGUUGGUCCCCUUGAUGAUCUGAAACGAAAUGACCAAGAGGCUCCAUGAAUCAAUAUGAUGACUCCACCUUCUUAAUUUCCGGCAUUAAGAUCAGUGCUCCCAAGAGCACAAAUCCUCAACCACGGUGAAUGUCGACUUCGAAGGUUCAUCUAAUAAUUUUCUUUCAAUCGUCGAUAUGUUAAUGUUUUUGUUAAUCGAAGAUGAUGAGAACCGGAAUGUGCAAUCUCGCGGGUCUCUCGAGUCCGAUUUCUAUAGAGAUUCGAGAUUCGUGUCCACAUGCAGAGAAGAUUAUCCGCAGAUUAGUCCGUCAACUGUUGAAGACUGGGCCAAAACUUGCUCCUCUCUCUUGCGCCUUGUCGUGUUCCAUGACUGCUUCAUUGAGAGGGAUUCUGCUGUUGGCUAGGUAUUACUGGGGAAUCUUGUCGAAGCUUCUUUCUUUGCUUGCCAUUUCACCUGGGAUUUGAUGCUUAUGUUCUCUUGGAUCCUGCCGUAGGAGUUGACACAGAGAAAGAGUCUCCUCCCUAUGAAACUUUAAAGGGUUUCGGUAUAAUUCACUUGAUAAGGCUGGUGGCCCAUUCUAUCCACUUUACACUGGGAGGAGAGACAGUAAUAUCAUACAAGGAUAUUUCAACGUAUGAGCUACCUUCACCCCCGUGCUGAUCUAUCUGAAACUCUUGCAUCUUUUGCGUCAAGGGGAUUCGAUGAAAGAGAAAUGUCAGUCUGCUAGGUAUUGAUAUUCUUUUGCAGCAGACAGAUAACCAAGACAAAGGCCAUUGAAGCUUCUUAAGGGUAGUAGCUAGAGACAAAGGCUAAAGGUACUAAAAGGACAUGAUCUUCUGUUUUUUCUUGGAAGCUAGUAACCCUAUGAUUAAUAUCAUAAAGAUCAAAGGGCCAGACUUUGAAGUAUUAACACUAAUAGCUUCACAGACACACUUGUGCAAAAGAUAAUCAUUACUUUCUUUACCGAAAGAUUAAGAAAGUAAUGUCUUAGGAAUAUAAUGACCUUCUGUUCUUGGUUUUUUUGACUACUUGCUGUCUAAAGUGCAGCUGCAUUGAUUAAGAUGCAAAAGCUAAAGAUAUCAGGUUAGUAAUUUGUGAAAGCUUAUUUAAUCCAAAAUUUAAACUCAAUCUUACGGAUUGUAGUAUUUUUUGUCCUAUCACAUAUGUUGAGAUGGACGCACACGAUUCCACAUGAUUCAUGUUUGUCCAUCUCAACAUUUGGGAUAGUCAGGACAAAAUUUUUGUGAUCAAGGAAGAAUGCAUUUAGUGAUAA